rnacentral:rRNA from 1 species
CGACAUAGUGGCAGACGGGUGAGUAACGCGUGGGAACGUGCCCUUCACUACGGAAUAGCUUCUGGAAACGGAAGGUAAUACCGUAUACGCCCUUCGGGGGAAAGAUUUAUCGGUGAAGGAUCGGCCCGCGUUAGAUUAGUUUGUUGGUGGGGUAAUGGCCUACCAAGACUACGAUCUAUAGCUGGUCUGAGAGGAUGAUCAGCCACACUGGGACUGAGACACGGCCCAGACUCCUACGGGAGGCAGCAGUGGGGAAUCUUGCACAAUGGGCGAAAGCCUGAUGCAGCCAUGCCGCGUGAAUGAUGAAGGCCUUAGGGUUGUAAAAUUCUUUCGCCAGGGAUGAUAAUGACAGUACCUGGUAAAGAAGCCCCGGCUAACUUCGUGCCAGCAGCCGCGGUAAUACGAAGGGGGCUAGCGUUGUUCGGAAUUACUGGGCGUAAAGCGCGCGUAGGCGGGCUAUUAAGCCAGAUGUGAAAGCCCGGGGCUCAACCCCGGAAUUGCAUUUGGAACUGGUAGCCUAGAGACCAGGAGAGGUUAGCGGAAUACCGAGUGUAGAGGUGAAAUUCGUAGAUAUUCGGUGGAACACCAGUGGCGAAGGCGGCUAACUGGACUGGUACUGACGCUGAGGCGCGAAAGUGUGGGGAGCAAACAGGAUUAGAUACCCUGGUAGUCCACACCGUAAACGAUGAAUGCUAGUUGUCUGCGCGCAUGCGUGCAGGUGACGCAGCUAACGCAUUAAGCAUUCCGCCUGGGGAGUACGGCCGCAAGGUUAAAACUCAAAGAA